rnacentral:rRNA from 1 species
CAAGCUACACAGAGUACGAGGUGGAUGCCUGGGCGCUGAAGGCCGAAGAAGGACGCGGAGACCGGCGAAACGUUCAAGGGGAGCUGCAUGCAAGCGAUGAGCCUUGAGAGUCCGAAUGAGGC